rnacentral:rRNA from 1 species
GACGGGGCCCGCACAAGCGGUGGAGCAUGUGGUUUAAUUCGAAGCAACGCGAAGAACCUUACCAGGUCUUGACAUCCCUGACAACCCGAGAGAUUGGGCGUUCCCCUUCGGGGGACAGGGUGACAGGUGGUGCAUGGUUGUCGUCAGCUCGUGUCGUGAGAUGUUGGGUUAAGUCCCGCAACGAGCGCAACCCUCGCCUCUAGUUGCCAGCAUUCGGUUGGGCACUCUAGAGGGACUGCCGGCGACAAGUCGGAGGAAGUGGGGAUGACGUCAAAUCAUCAUGCCCCUUAUGACCUGGGCUACACACGUGCUACAAUGGGCGGUACAAAGGGCUGCGAACCUGCGAGGGGGAGCGAAUCCCAAAAAGCCGCUCUCAGUUCGGAUUGCAGGCUGCAACUCGCCUGCAUGAAGCCGGAAUCGCUAGUAAUCGCGGAUCAGCACGCCGCGGUGAAUACGUUCCCGGGCCUU